UGGGGGAUAUUGCACAAUGGGCGAAAGCCUGAUGCAGCGACGCCGCGUGGGGGAUGAAGGCUUUCGGGUUGUAAACCUCUUUCGCUAUCGAACAAGGCCCGCUUAGGGUGGGUUGAGGGUAGGUGGAGAAGAAGCGCCGGCUAACUACGUGCCAGCAGCCGCGGUAAUACGUAGGGCGCGAGCGUAGUCCGGAAUUAUUGGGCGUAAAGGGCUUGUAGGCGGCUUGUUGCGCCUGCUGUGAAAACGCGGGGCUUAACUUCGCGCGUGCAGUGGGUACGGGCAGGCUUGAGUGUGGUAGGGGUGACUGGAAUUCCAGGUGUAGCGGUGGAAUGCGCAGAUAUCUGGAGGAACACCGAUGGCGAAGGCAGGUCACUGGGCCAUUACUGACGCUGAGGAGCGAAAGCAUGGGUAGCGAACAGG
rnacentral:rRNA from 1 species